AAGAACUGCAUCCAUUUCUUCAUCCAAAAUCUAAUUAAAUAAAAAAAAAAUCACACCACCUUGCCACAAGAAACCCUAGCUAAAACUUUAACUAGAUUUAAGUGAGAACUUGACAAAUGAAGAAGGGCUGCUAAGUAUAAAGGCACCACUUCUGACUCGGAUGUUCGCUCUUGGCUGCUGUAGGAGAAAGUGUUGGGGCCUCCAGGAUGCUUUGUUCUGAUCCAGCAUGGCUCUUCUUGUGCUCUGACACAUUAUGCAUAUUACUGUCUUCCCUACUGUAAUUCAUUCUCCUUCUACAAUAAACUGUUGUAGCUGU